UACGAAGGGGGCUAGCGUUGUUCGGAAUUACUGGGCGUAAAGCGCGCGCAGGCGGUCUUCCAAGUCAGUGGUGAAAGCCCGGAGCUCAACUCCGGAACUGCCAUUGAAACUGUUAGACUUGAGGACGAGAGAGGUGAGUGGAAUUCCCAGUGUAGAGGUGAAAUUCGUAGAUAUUGGGAAGAACACCUGUGGCGAAAGCGGCUCACUGGACCACAACUGACGCUGAGGCGCGAAAGCUAGGGGAGCAAACGGG
rnacentral:rRNA from 1 species